AGCAGCCGCGGUAAUUCCAGCUCCAAUAGCGUAUAUUAAAGUUGUUGCAGUUAAAAAGCUCGUAGUUGAAUUUCGGGAUUAAUUUACUGGUCGUGCUAUUGUACGUACUGGUGUUAUUGAUUCCUCCCUUCUGACGAACUAUGAUGCCAUUAAUUUGGUGUCUUAGGGAAUCAGGGCUGUUACUUUGAAAAAAUUAGAGUGUUUAAAGCAGGCUCACGCUUGAAUACAUUAGCAUGGAAUAACGGAAUAGGACGUUUGAUUCUAUUUUGUUGGUUUCUAGGAUCGACGUAAUGAUUAAUAGGGAUAGUUGGGGGCAUUAGUAUUCAAUUGUCAGAGGUGAAAUUCUUGGAUUUAUUGAAGACUAACUACUGCGAAAGCAUUUGCCAAGGAUGUUUUCAUUAAUCAAGAACGAAAGUUAGGGGAUCGAAGACGAUCAGAUACCGUCGUAGUCUUAACCAUAAACUAUGCCGACUAGGGAUCGGAUGAUGUUAAUUUUUAAUGACUCAUUCGGCGCCCUACG
rnacentral:rRNA from 1 species